rnacentral:lncRNA from 1 species
UUCCAAUUAUUUUCUGCCUUUGGAUUGCAUUCCUCUGAUUGUACUCUACUAUUUGGAAGCUGUUUGGUUUUUAUUUAGCAAUCAGCAUCGCAUGGUUUUUUUAUUUUGCAAUUCUCAAAUUGUGAAAUUGAAUCUGCCAGUGUUGCUUAAUUGGUAAUUUCGACGCCUCCAUCAGGUUUGGAUUAGAACAGAAGAAUUGUCCUGAUUUCAGUGGUUGCUUGAUAGUAUUUGAUGCAUGGUGCAUCAUGCAAAGCUUCUAUGUUAGUGUUAGAGCAAGGUAGAAGGGUUCUGUUUGAUCAGAGAUUUCUUGAGAUUUGAAUAUAUAUUCUUUGAAGUAUGGUUGCAGUUGUGAUUGUCUCAUUUCAAUAUUCUGAUGCUGAUCACGUCCCAAUUCAUAUGAUCCAUUCAGUUUGAAUAGAAAAUGAUUUCUACUUGAAGAAAUCGUGUGGAGAUUAUGAGUUGAAGACCUUGUGUUCAUAUGUACUAUAUUACACGUUGCUGGUUGAAUUUGAUUUCAAUGCAUGCCAAAAGAGUGAGUUUGUGUCCAUAUGUUCUAAGUUUUGUUCAAUUGGUGACUACUAAAGUUGAUUGUUCAAAGGUUGUUUUUUGUGUAGCCUGUUGGCUUUGUUAUUAGCUUCUGUUUAAUGGUUAAGCAUGAUGUUUCUGUCAUAAAUGGUUAAGCAUUGAUAUUUUGCUUCUGUCUUGAGUGAUUGAAUACUCUCGAUGGUUUAGUUCGGUGCCUUAAAUGGCUUGUUGCUGUGCUUCCGCCAAAUGGUUAAACUUUGAGCAUAGCUUCAGCUUGGUGGUUAAAUCUUUGCCCUAUGGCUGUAUUGAUGUUAGCUUCCGCCCUAUGGUAGUUAAGCGUUUGAUUGUUGCUUCUUCCAAGUGGUUAAGCUUUGAGUUGUGGCUUCUGCUUGAUGGUUAAGCAUAUGCAUUUUGCUUUUGAACAUUUCUCAUUGUGUAAUCUCUUGACGCUAAG